AUAACUUGGUAUCUUGUGCGUCUGAAAAUCGGAGUAUAAUUCGAUUUUGAUUUGAUCGUAUUGGAUGGCUUAUAGAUCAAUUAAGGAUAGUGAUAAAUGAAAUUAAUAGAAAAAAUUAAAAAUAGAAGAGUAAAGAUGUUUUAUUAAUGAAAGAAUAAAACAUCACCGUAUUUUGACUUGUGAGCUUAGCUAAAAUGCACCUUUAGGCCAAUCUUAUACAUUGAUUUUGGAGUUGAGCUCUGUUAGAAGGUUCAAAUUGUUCGAGUUAUAGUCCGCAUGGUGGUACUGUUACUAGAGUUGUUUUUGAUGAGUUUGUUUAUAGCACUGUCUGACUUUCUUCCGGUCGGCAUGACUGUGUUAUCAUGUAUACAAAACUUGACGCAAAAGUAUAUAGUAGAAACAGUGGUACCAGAUAUACUUAAAGAAGGUCUAUCGAAAAUGAAACAUAGACUGACAAUUUACGAAGAAAUAUAGUGUAACACCUUACCACACAGAAUCUUAUGCUUAAGUCAUAAAACAGAGGUGGUGAAGUAUUACGACCUCUAAAAGUGAAAUAUUAUAUAAAAUAUAGUUGAAAGGAAGUUUUAUCUAAGAGCCUUUGAAAAAAGUUAAAACAAAAGUGUUAAACCGAAAAACGCAACACUCACGUAAAUAUUAGCGUAACCGAAGCAAGAUAAGAGUAAACUAAGCAUGGAUAUAUAUACAAGAGAGUUUCAAGAUACAGAUAAAAAAGCUUCUGACUCGGCUCGCGAAGAUAAACCAGCCAGAGCAUAUAGGCAUAUAUACAUAUAUACAAGAGAACCCAAAAUAAGCCCAAAAUAUAGUUUACAGAACCUGUUUCUCCAAAUCAACCUCUAAGAGGGAUAAAACAUCAUAUACAUAAAUAGUGGAGAAAAUAAGUAUCUACAUAUAUACAUCGGAUUCGGCUCCUCUGAAGUUGUUCAUUUACUUUAGAGGAAAAAGUAACGCAAUCUGAACCCUUGAUAAUAUAAAUGGUUCUGAUCAUCUUAAAUAAAUAAAUAGUAAAUAAAUGCAUUAAAAGAGAAUCAAAACGUUAAAAAGAAAAAAAAUGCGCCACUUUACAAAGAUUGCGGCAGAGUUGAAUUUCUAUAAAACUAAAUGCGUACAACAAUAAAAUUUGUAUUGAGUAAAAAAUAAUGAAGAGGACCAUACGAACAUUGAAGACACAGUGGAUACUGAACCAAAAAAAUGGUAGUUACAGAGAUGAUGGAAUUACCAAGUGAAACGAAUAUGUGGGUUCCAUCUAUGGAGACUACGAUGAUAGUGUCCCCAAUGGAGACAAGUUUUGUGUUGUCUCCUACUAGAGAAACGACGAUAGGAUUGCAUAGCAAGUCAAACAUGGAGGUGUUGCUUCCUGAAACUAAAACAGUAAAUUUAUUAGAAGAAACAAAUGAAUUGAUGAUCACAAUGAUACCACCAUGGAAAGGUAAUUUUUUUAUUGAAUAAUUUCAAAUUUCACCGCAAUAUAUUUGAUAAAAUUUUAUUCAAUAUAUAUUUUUUUAUAUUUGCAUAAGAUUGUCGAUUGAUUUAUCAGAACAUGGAAAAUACUCAAAUUGCACAACACAAUUCUACAUUAAUUACUUUUUCUAGGUAUGUUUAUAACAAUUAUAUUUAGUACUCUUAUUUUUGUAUGUUUAUAACAAUUAUAUUUAAAAUUUUAUUAUUUAUUUUGUUCAGGCCAAUUAUAGCAAAAAAAAUACCAAAAUUAAGCAUGGAAUUUGACACAGUACUAGAAGCUAAAGACUUCUGGAAAAAUUAUGGUAGAAUGAUGGGUUUUGAUGUUCGACAAUUGUAUGCAAAUAAAUGCAAGGUUGAUAAUUCUGUGAGUAAUUUUAGACUCAUUUGUGCAAAGAAAGGCCAACGAAGACCAGAUAAACGAGAUAAUUUAACAAAGCAACCUCGCGCUAAGACUAGAACAAGUUGCCAAGUAAGAAUGUUACUCAAGUUUGCUCGAGAUAUAAAAAAAAUAUGUGAUUUGUGAUUUUGAGUUAAAUCACAAUCAUAUUUUGCAAAUUUCAAAAACCAGUCAUAUGAUGCCAUCACAAAGAAAGGUUUCAGAAGUAUAAGCAUUGCAAAUAGAUUUGGCAUGGUAUAAGACUAAAGGAAACACAUGAACUAACAAGUUUACAAGCUGGUGGUAAAGAUGUUCUUGGAUAUACCAAACAAGACCAAAAGAACUAUCUUCGAAGCAAACGAAAGCGAGACUUGGCCUAUGGUGAAGCAGGUAGUUUAUUAAAGUAUUUUCAUCGACAACUACUUGAUAAUCCCUCGUUUCAAUAUGCUAUACAGUUAGAUAAUAAAGAGAAAAUAACAAAUAUUUUUCGGCUAAUGCAAGAAUGGUUAUUGAUUAUGCUAUCUUUGGUGAUGUAAUCACGUUUGACACUACAUACUGCACAAACAAAGAAAAUAGACCAUUAGGUAUUUUUUGUGGAUUCAAUCACCAUCGAGAAAUAGUAAUAUUUGGCGCUGCUCUUUUGUAUGACUAAUUAAAAGAAUCUUUUAUGUGGUUAUUUGAAUCAUUUUUGGAAUCUCACAUGCAAAAAAAAAAAAGCCUAAAACUAUUUUCACUGAUCAAGAUCCUGCUAUGGCAAGUGCUUUGGUAGAAAAAGGCCUGAAACAUAUCAUGAAUUAUGUGUCUGGCAUAUUAUGCAAAAUUCUAUUAGAUAUUUAGGGAAUAAGAUUCUUUUAUCUUGAAAGAUUUCAAAGCUUGUAUGUAUAAUUCUAAAGAUCAGUUUCAAUUUCAAGAGGCAUGGGAUGCAUUGCUUCAAAGAUACAAGUGGAAGACCAUCCUUGGUUGAAGAGUAUUUAUAAAGUGAAAGAAAAAUGGGCUCAUUGCUAUAUGAAGAAGGCGUAUACUAUUGGAAUGCGAAGUACUCAACUUAGUGAAAGUUUUAACAGUGAUUUGAAAGAUUUUAUGCGGUCAAGUUUAGACAUAAUACAUUUUCUCAAACAAUUUGAGCGAGUUGUUGGUGGCAAGCGAUAUAAGGAGCUACAAGCUGAAUACAAUGCAAGACAAAAGCUUUCUAGACUUAAAGAUGAUUCACUCGCCAUUGUUAAAGUAUGCUGCACAGGUAUAUACUCCUAGCGCAUUUGAUUUAUUUCAAAAUGAAUUUGAUUGGAGUUCUGCUGCUUAUAUUAUUUCUCGUAAAGAUGGAGAAUACACCGUAUCUGGCAAUGUGAAAUAUAUGAUAAUUACUUGUAGUUGUGGAAUGUUUGAAAUAAUAGAAUUCUUAUGUUGUCAUAGUUUAAAAGUUCUAAAUGUUUGGGAUAUAAAGCAAAUUCUGGAUCAAUACAUUAUGAAGAGAUAGACUAAAGAAGCAAGAGAGAUGAUUGUUCAUGACUCAGAGAAAAAAGUUGUUCAAAGUGAUACUAGAGUGGAUGCUACAUCACGGUAUAAAAAUAUAUGUUCUAAAGCUAUCAAAUUAGCUGCUCGAUCAUCAGAUUUUGAAGUAACAUCUAAUUUUGUUGAGCAAGUUAUAGACGAGGCAUGUUUAUAAGAAGGUAGAUUCUUUUUGUAGACACAACCAAGAUGAUGAUGUUUCAAAUAUUUUGAAUGCAAAAGAAAUCGUUAAUAGCUGAUGGAGAUGCAUUAGAAAGAUUACUUGAAAAUGUGAAAGGGUUGAAAAAAAAAGGACGAAAAGGCAGAAAAAGACUCGAGUUGGGUUGAAAACAAUCAAAUAAGAGAAUGGCGUUAACAAAGAAACAUUCCACCCAAAUUUGUCAGGUUGUAAUAUUUUUUAUUUCUUAUUAUCAUUUUUUAACGUUUUUAAAAUUUAUUGAAGUUCUUCUGUAUUAUUAUUUUUCUUAUAAUAGUGUUUACAUUGCAGGCUGAAAUUUUCACUUCAAAUCCUGAAAAUCAAGUUGUUUUGCCACUUUAUUCAUAUUAACACAUCACUGAUCAAUCAUGGAAUCAAAUUACAGCAAUAGAUGGAGUCAAAUUACAACACCAAAUUUAGAUAAUUAAAUGAUAGAAUGAAAAGCUAUUUAUUUGAACUUUGCAAUUUUUCUUUUGGAAUUUAUAAUGAAUGACUUUAAGGAAUUUGAUAUGAUUGUUUUGUUUAUAUUUUUUACUAUUUGUCUAUUCUGAUCAUAAUAUAUUUUCUUUCACUUUAUUAUAUUUAUUGUUCUACAUCAAUACAAUGAGAAUGAUAAGUAUAGGCUACUCAAAUUAAGAUUAACAAGUCACACAUUUAAAUUUAAACUACAACAUUAGACAUAAAACAAGAAUCAUAAACACAUUAAAUCACAUAAAAAUAUAAAUAAAUUAAUUUAAUUUAUAUCAAUAUAAAAUUAUUAGAGAUCUAUUAAACCAACAUCACAUCAUUAGUUACUCUAAACACCCUUUAAUUUGUUCUCGGUUACAUUCUUAUUUCAAGUAUAAACAAAAAAAAAAUUGAAUACAUUUAUUUAAAAGAGUUUGAGUACAUUUACAUGAUUACAUGAGUUUUUUUAUAUUAAAAUAAAAAAAAUAUUUCUUGACCCAUUUUAAAUUAAUUUAUUUUUUUUUACCAGACUUUUCAGAAAAAUGUUAAGGAUUCAAAAAAGAUAAAAAAAAUCACUAGUGGUCACCAUUAAUCUCUUUCAUAACAAAACUUUAAAUGUGAGUUACAGAAGAUAAAAAUAAAGAAGAAGAUAACGAAGACAGCAACAAUAUCAUGGAAGAACAUGAUAAUAAAACAUAAAAAGAGAAUUAAAUGUUGUGAAAAAAUAGAACUAGAAAUAAAAUUUCUCUUUUUUGUUGAAGAAAAAGAAAGAAAAAACGAAGUAAAAGAGAAAGAAGAUGAAAUAAAAAGAAGAAAUAAAAAGAAGAAAUCAUGCUGGUCUUGGAAGCUGCUGCAAUUGUCACACAAUCUCCAAAGAACCAUAUUAAAAAGUCCUCUUUUAAUUUCUUUUAAUGUAUUUAUUUAUUAUUUAUUUAUUUAAAAUGAUCAGAACCAUUUAUAUUAUUAAGGGUUUAGAUUGCAUUACUUUUUUCUCUAAAGUAAAUCAACAACUUCAGAGGAGCCAAACAUCAAGCCAAAAUAAAGCUCAAAAGCACAAAGAUCAUUGCUAUCAGAAGCUUUCAAUAUGGUUCAACGAGGUGCCUCACGUCCUGCAUCUGAAAACCAUAAAAAUAUGUAUGGGUGAGAACCAGAGAUUCUCAGCAUGGUAACAGUACCCAUAUCUCUGACAUAUAAUAUCUCGAAAAAACUGAAGGCGAUCUUAGAAAUUUCAACAUAUGAUUUAAUCUUAUAAAACAUAACUAAACCAAAAAUAGAUUAGGCAACUAACUAAGGAUCUUCUUCAUUCUAUCUAAUACUCCCUUUCCAACUCCUCCAAACCUCCCAACCGCCACUAGAAUCAUUUGUUUCAAACACAAUUAUUACAUGCAAGAAAAUCACAAUUAGGAUUCAAAUACAGCAGAUAAACAGAUAGCAAGUAGUUUAUGCAAUUAGUUAAACAUUCCAAACAAACACAUAGAUACAUAUGAUGCAUGUCUGUCCUAUGGCUGAUGAGUCUCAUAUGUUGGUUAUAUAGCCAACCCGACAAGUCCUGGUAGCUAACCAUUGAACUGUCCUUCUGUCGUGCAUCCCCAAAUCUCAUAUCAUAAACAUUCAUAAUCAUAUAACACACAUCAGCUUAUAUCCAUGGGGCGAGCUCAUCCGGAAAGGUCUAACUGUCCAGCCACACUUACGACAUAGGGUCAGCAGAGUAUCGAGUCUCAACCUGGAGCAUGUGAUGGCAAGCCACUGCUUUCACCCAGGGAAACUCGUAUCUCAGAUAUUUGAAAGUGCAUCAAACCACAUAAUCAAUCAAUAAUCAUACAAUCAUUAUCAGCCAUAAUUCAUUUAUCAAUAUAGCCCUCCGGCUCAAUACAUAAUCAGCACUUCUGCCAUUAUCAUCCGUGAAUUCCUAUCAUCAUCCACAGCCAUGUUUCAUCAUUACUUUACCUCUUUUUUCACCAAUAAGUUACCUUCCUCACAGUCUUAAUUAUACUUCACUACCCAAAUUUCACUUACCAGACUUUAAAUAAGAGUUAAAAAGGUUUUGAAAGCUGGAGGAAUGCAUUUAGAAACAAAAGUCAAUGUUUUGGAAAAAUAGGGGCUCGCGUACGCGACCCCUGCUCGCGUACGCGAGGAGUGCGACCCGUAACGAUUGCUCGCGUUGCAAGUCGUCCUUCGCGUACGUGCCUUUGCAAAAAUUCGACCUCUCGCGUACGCGAGCCCCUCAACCCGAGAGUAUUGCUCGCGUCACGUGCCAUGUGGUCGCGUACGCAACUAAGGAAAACGCCACGUCCGUGUACGCGACACACAUCCCACAUAUGCGAACCCUCUGGGCAAUGCCCAAUGGCUGCGUCGCGCAUGUCCCUCACGUAUGCAUGCAUAGUAGAAGUUUCAAAAAGCUGCCAAGUCCAGGAUCUCUAUUUUGCACACCAAACUUUGAUUGCGCAUAACUUUCUCGUUUUAAAACAUUUUUCCUCUGUUCUUCGAAUGGUGUAAACCUCUCGAACCAAUUUUUCUUUUUAGAGAAGUUUGAUAAAAAUCGGAGGUUCAAAGACCAAGUUAUGCUCCACCAAAGUUGGUCAAAAAUCAUAGUUUUUAUUAAAAUUUACAAACCUCAACUUUCAAAACAUACUAAUUUCAAACCUUUCAAAAACCAACCCAAACCUUACCAUACAGCAUCAAGCACUUCCAAUUCAUAUUUCCAACUUCCUUAUUCAUCCCCAACCUACCAAUUCUCCACUUUCAUCAAUAUCAACUUCAAUAAUUCAAGUUCAAAUAAUAUUCAAAUUACUAAUCAUUAUGCAUAUCAACCAAUAUCAUCUACAAAGUUACACACAUUAUUCAUGAGAGCCUCAAUCACAACUUCCAAAAUGACUAACCACAUACGCAAUAUUCAAACUCAACCAACAACAACAUAAACAAUUCAAUGCUUAUCUUAUGGUCAACUAACCUAAGUUUUCACGACACAUUAUAUUUUAGUUAUGAGAAACUGAAACCAUACCUUGGUCGAUUCCCCGAUAAACCCGGAACACCUCACAGUAUACCACACAACAAGUUUGUCAACCUCAGCCCCUCUCAAAUGAACCUAGCUUCCAAAACUUGAUCUCAAGCUUCCAUUUUCUCAAAUUGACUCCAACCCACAAUUAAUUUUCAAUCUAAGAUUAUAAUUACCACUAUAAUCAAUAUAGAGUUCACUAAUUUAACAUUACACAAAAAGGUUGAGGGUGCUUACCUAGUUCACAGCUCAAGUGAGCCAAACCCGAUAAUUUCCGCAAGUUAAUUCGAAUCUAAAACACCAAACCAACAAAAUCUCAACAUACACUCAUAAAUUUCAAAAAUUAGGGGCAGAGCAUCUGAGAUGAGAAAUGAGAUGUUCCUAUGAAAUUGUUCUGAUGGAUUUGUAAAGCUCGACGCGGUAGUCGCGUAGUCGCAAACGGUGCGGCAAUCGGAGCUCGGAGUUGGAUGUUAUGGCAAUUUGAUUUGAAGCCAAGGGUUUGGAGUUGAUAAUCUCCCCCCUUUCAUGUUUUCCAGCGUGAAAGUAAUGAAGAAGAAGGGUAAUGAGCUGAAGCUCAUGUGUUUAAGUAUAUUCGGCUGGGCCUUGGGCCCAAUACGGGCCCAGUUUGUCCGAUUCGGCUCGUUUGGCCCAAUUUUAGGCCAAAUUUUUUAACAUUAGUGUCAAAAAUCUUGUUUUAAUUAGCUCUAUCUCAUUAAACUAUAAAAUUUAAUUUUCUAAUUUUAUAGAAUAAAUAUUAAUUUAUAAGUUAAUUAUUUAUUAAUUAUUCAGAUUUUACNNNNNNNNNNNNNNNNNNNNNNNNNNNNNNNNNNNNNNNNNNNNNNNNNNNNNNNNNNNNNNNNNNNNNNNNNNNNNNNNNNNNNNNNNNNNNNNNNNNNNNNNNNNNNNNNNNNNNNNNNNNNNNNNNNNNNNNNNNNNNNNNNNNNNNNNNNNNNNNNNNNNNNNNNNNNNNNNNNNNGUUGAUAUAUAAAAUUGUAAGAUAUAUAAAAGUGAAGCUGUUCAAGUAUAUAGAGUAGUAUAUACCUUAUAAGAGGUCAUGUCGUAUUAAAAAUUAAAGUAAAAGAAUUAUAUAAGUAGAUUAGGUUAUGGGUACACAUUGUAUUAUCGUGGUAUAAUGCCUUAUCAAUUUGAUUUGUUGCGGUCAUUCGUCUUUCGAUUGUUUUCCGAAGUAAUUUCAAAUUUUUCUUUUUGUACAAAGGAUUUCAAAUUCAUGUUUUAAAUUCAUCAGUUAAAACUAAAGCACGGUCGUUAUUCCCAAAGUGUGAUCAUCACCACUGUCACUAUUACUAGAAUUUCUUUGGUCCUCUUCAUCACCUUGUUCGUUUUGGUUCACAAGUUCGGUUAACUUUUGAAUUUAUGCUUUCAGUGAUUCCUUGAUCACUAAUAGUUUGGCUAUAGUAGGAAGUUGUGGAGGUGGAUUGUUUUGCUUUUCUACCAUUGAUUAAAACCUGCAAAAUAAGGUAAGUAAUUGGACAGAAAAGAUGAUAAUGGGGUUAAGUAAACUCGACCUCACGGUAGACGCCAAAUGUUCCUGCGUAGUAAGCCGGGCUUGAGGUGUAACUCGUCUUGUUCAGAGAUUGAGCUCUCGUUCACCUGAAGUGGGAGAGGUAUACGUCAACUUCAAGAGAAACGGCGGCAUCAGACACCUGCAAAGACACUCCGACGCUCAAGUUAGUAGAAGUAUGAGAUAAGUAUAAUAUUACUCAGAGUGAAUAGCGUCUCUUUUACAUAGUUAGGGUUCAGUAUUUAUAGAGUGUAAUCUUCUAUAAAGAGAUUGAGAUAUUUACCUUAUUUUUCGGUAACUAUCUUAGUUUGUUUCUGAGUGGGUUAUUAUCAGCGAGAUUCUUUCUAAAUUGAAGAUAAGUCAUGUUUAUUAUUAUAUUUGAAUUCCAAUUUAUAGACAUAGUUGGACCGAGUUAUAACUACCGGAUCAGUUAGCAAUAAUCCUUGUAACUAAUUGUAUCUCACAUUUUUUUAUUUUUCAAUUUUCUCUGAAGAAACUGUUUAUAUUUUCUCUGCUUUAAUUUUUCUCUCAAUUCCAUCACCUUCUUUACCUCUCUCACCAAGUUUUGAUACCUUUUACUAAUAUUAGGACUGAAUUGUUUGAGGAAGAAAAAAUCUAAAAACUAGUUUAGAAAAUUAAAAUUGAUUAGUUACCAAAAUAUUAUAUUAAAAUUUUUUUAAGAAUUAAUAUGGAAAAACUACCAUUUGUACCCAUGAAUUUUGUGAACACUGACAAAAGUACCCAUCAAAUAAGAAAACUAACGUUGUAUCCAUGAAAGAUGAGUUCUGUGUGACAAUAGUAUCUAAACCGUGAUUUUUUGUUGACUUUUUAAUAAAAUUCCCAAAUUACCCCUUCUAUCUUCUUCCCCAAAUUUCAAAUUUCACAACCCCCAUCCUUCGUCUUCCUCCUCUGCUGCUGCCAGCCACCAGGCAUGAAGAAUAUAAAAUUAAUUUCCUUUCAUUUAAUUCUUCAGCUAUCACACAAUUCCCAAUCAUCCUCCUUCCAAAGAUCCCAUUUUUCGAAGCAUUAAAAUUCAUGAGAUUUCAAAGACAACACAAACUUGGAAACCCGGAGGACAGAACACAAAACAGAUUGAACUUCAUCAAAACUUGAAUAAACAAGAAUAGAUAUUAAAGCUGUCAAACACACCAGAAGAUAAGAGAAUAACACAAUAAAGAACCACCUUUAACAAACCACCACCCCCAGAAAAUCUUCUCAAUCCAAAGCAACAUCACCUUUCCGCUGACUCCAAAUCUAAAAAGAUAAAAUUGAUAGCUAAGACACAAAGAGAAAAAGGGAGAAACAACACAUACGAUCGGCCCUGAAUAAAGCUGCAUGUGUACUGAUUGAGAACGAUGAUAGUACCUCUCUGCAACUUGCCAGAAUGGAUCAAAUCGUUCUUUUGCAUAGCGAGCAUGCUUUGCUGGUAAUGGGAGCCAUCAGAGAGAAUCAAACGGAAUCUCUCGGUAUUGUUCUAUUGCGACUACACAAGUUUGAAGUCCAUUACUUGCAAAAUCGGCUUCAGAUCCUCAGUCGAACUGGAAUUCUCGCACAUCUUCGUAAUUGCCGAUUUGGUGAGUUUCACCUCCAUUUUUGGGAACCCUAGCAAGAAAUUGAAACCGCGUUUAGUGAUGUAAAACGAAACGCCGAAGUUUGGUUAGAGUGCGUUGAAGCAUUUUGGAGGGAGAGAGAGAGAGAGAGAGAGAGAGAGAGAGAGAGAGAGAGAGAGAGAGAGAGUACUGUUUGAGUACUAUUGUCAUACGGAACUCAUCUUUUAUGGGUACAACAUUAGUUUUCUUGUUUGAUGGGUACUUUUGUCAAUAUUCACAAAAUUCAUGGGUACAAAUGGUAGUUUUUCCAAUUAAUAUAAAGUAUUACUCUAAUCUAACAUUUUGAAGGAAACGUAUAGGGAGGGAAAAAAAAAAGGAAAAUGAUACAUACAUCCAAAAUACAAGAUCAAGUGGACGAUUUGAAACAACUUUGUUAUUUGGAUAAUCAUCAUCAAAAGGUUGUUCUACAUUUUGUUUCUUUCGUAAAAUUAUGCUGUGAAGUCUACUUAUUAAUAUAUUCCACCACAAUUUUAUUCUUCUUCCUAUUAUUGAAAACAUUACAAUUUUUUCAUAAGCUACCAAUGCAAUAACAUUUGACUAUCAACUUGCACAAAUAAAUAAUUAUCUACAUACUGUCUAAUAUACAUAACCAAAAUGAUUAUACAAAUAUCAUUUUUCGUAUUUGGAUUUGAAACGUGUAAGUUUAUACAUGAUCGUUUGGCGCUCCGAAGCAGGAAGUGCGUCCAAUUGUAUUCAACUUGACGGAUAAUAUUAAAAAUAAUACUCGAGUCUAAUAUGAAAUAUCAGAGCAAUAUUAAUGCAGUAAAAAUCUUAUAUUUGAUAAAUUGACUUUUGACACCAAACAAGAUUUUGAAUAUCAACUUUUGUUUUAGUUUUCGAUAUUUUAGAAAAUUCGAUCUAUAACUUUUAGCAAGGAAAAUAGUGAAAUAAAGAAAAUAAAUGAUAAAUUUGGAUGCUCUAAUAUGGUGUCCAAUAGAAUACAAUAAACUUUUCUCAAAAUAAAAUAUUCAGUAGAAUUUAAUUUUGAUACGUUGUCAAUGUAAAGCAGUUUUACAUGUGUAUUCAAUUACGUAACGCUAUAUUAGUAAAAAAUAACUACUUUUUUUAUUAAUCGUAUAAAUGGUCAUUCAAAAAAACAGAUGUAAUUGCACGACAAUAUAAAACGCUUUAUACUGUCAGUGAAUCAAAAUUAAACUCUAUCUAUAAAAAAGUAUUAAAAAAAAAAAAGAAAAUCAAUAUUGGGGGGCAAUGUGAUAUGUUACAUUCAAUUGGGCCUAGGAAGAGGCCCUACCCACAUGCAGCAUGGNNNNNNNNNNNAAAACGUUAUGCUUUGUAUUGGAUCCUUUAAUUUUGGGAUCAUGUAUGUAACAAUUUUUUGAGUUUCUUAUUCUCUGAAAGUGAACUUCUGUAAAUAUAUUAAUAAAUAUUCGGUAAUUUAGUACAAAUAAAAUUGAAGACUGAGUUGAUUGAUACAAGUAGCACGAUAUGGGCCACAAAUUGAAUAGAAUUCUUUAAACAGUGGCUCUAAAAUAUCUCCCUAAUGGUUUAAUUAAUGUUGUAAUAUAUAGUUAACUAACAAGUAACACGUACAAUGAAAUCCUAACAACCCAAGAUAUUUCAUUUUCGUAUACUUGAGUGCUAUGCCUAUAUAUAUAGGUUCAUUCCUUCCCAAAUUUUUCCAUCAAACAAUUAACUACAUACAUUCUCAUUGUGUGUGAGUGAGAGAGAGAGAGAGAGAGAAGAGAGAUACAUAAAUAAUUAAGAUGGAUUAUGCAAUGAUUCGUUCUUCUAACUCCAAGUGUGUUGUGACAAUCCUUCUGGUAAUUGUUUUAACCGUCACAAAUUUUGGUGAAGCAAAAGGGAGAGAAUUCCGACAAUCAAACACAGUAUUCAUUAGAAGCUCAUGUAGCUCCACAACAUACCCAAAACUAUGCUACACUUCGCUGGUGAAGCAUGCGGCAUUCAUUCAAACAAACCCCGUUCUUCUAACGNNN
rnacentral:lncRNA from 1 species